CUGGGAAUGUAGCUCAGAGAUAGAGCGCUUGCCUAGCUUGCAAGAAGCCCUGGGUUUGAGCCCCAGUGCCCACA
rnacentral:tRNA from 1 species